GACUGAAGUAAUCGAAUUCGGUACUCUCGUUAGAAAAGAAGAUCCAGCAAGUCUGUGCACUACUGACCCAGAGACAUUGUUUUGUUUUGCUUUUUUUUUUUUUUUUCCUCCAUGGAAUAAAGUAAUACAUUCAUUAUUUUCUGCAACUAAAAAUAUUCAGUUAUUCCAUUUUUGUAGCUUACAACUCAGUCAACUGUGUCAACAGUGCAGGAAGAGUUGGGAACAAUGACAGUUCCCCCCAGCAAACUGCCUUUCUUCAGAGUAUCCAGGGAGCAUAAAAUAACACUUACUACAAACAUGCCUUCAUAUUCUGUUUCAGUUUAUUAGAUUUCCUCUGUUCAUCCCAUGAAUGUAAUCGCUCCCUGUGCUAUCAGUGCUUUUAUUAAACUGAGUUUUAUCUGUUCGUCGUUAGUGAGUAGACCCACUGAUUUUGGUAUCUUGAUGAAAAAGUACAUUCCAUAAUUUAUUUGCUGCAUGUUUCAAAUUUUAAUUGGUGAGUGAAUUUUAUAUUUUUUCAGAAUGUCUAAUAGUACAUAGUUUCAAUAAUAGUUAAGUAGUACUGAGCAAACAAAUGUAAUUUACCCACUAGAGAAUGACUUCCACCGCAGUGUUUCUCCAGAGCUUACUACAGAGGACAAGAGGUGAACUAUCAUACUACUUUGAUUAGAUGUUGUAGCCUUACUAAUCAUAUUAAAGACCUAUAACAUGGGG